rnacentral:rRNA from 1 species
AACGCGAAGAACCUUACCAAGGCUUGACAUGGCCUCAAAAGCCGCAGAGAUGCGGUGUCCGCAAGGGGGGUCACAGGUGGUGCAUGGCUGUCGUCAGCUCGUGUCGUGAGAUGUUGGGUUAAGUCCCGCAACGAGCGCAACCCUCGUCCUAUGUUGCCAGCGGGUAAUGCCGGGGACUCAUGGGAGACUGCCGGGGUCAACUCGGAGGAAGGUGGGGAUGACGUCAAGUCAUCAUGCCCCUUAUGUCUUGGGCUGCAAACAUGCUACAAUGGCCGGUACAAAGGGCUGCGAUGCCGUGAGGCGGAGCGAAUCCCGGAAAGCCGGUCUCAGUUCGGAUCGGGGUCUGCAACUCGACCCCGUGAAGUCGGAGUCGCUAGUAAUCGCGAAUCAGCAACGUCGCGGUGAAUACGUUCCCGGGCCUUGUACACACCGAUAGC